GAUGAAGAACGCAGCGAAAUGCGAUAAGUAAUGUGAAUUGCAGAAUUCAGUGAAUCAUCGAAUCUUUGAACGCACAUUGCGCCCCCUGGUAUUCCGGGGGGCAUGCCUGUUCGAGCGUCAUUUCACCACUCAAGCCUCGCUUGGUAUUGGGCAACGCGGUCCGCCGCGUGCCUCAAAUCGACCGGCUGGGUCUUCUGUCCCCUAAGCGUUGUGGAAACUAUUCGCUAAAGGGUGUUCGGGAGGCUCCGCCGUAAAACAACCCCAUUUCUAAGGUUGACCUCAGAUCAGGUAGGGAUACCCGCUGAACUUAAGCAUAUCAAUAAGCGGAGGA
rnacentral:misc_RNA from 1 species